GCUGCUCAAAGUGAAACGGCCAAACGAAGAAGACGUAUCGUGUGUGCUCAGACUUGUGCUCUCAAAAUUUUUGGUCAACUACAUUAUUCAGCUCUGGUAGCGAAACAACAACAACAACUACUACUACUCACACUUAACAACAUUUAGAAUUGUAACUAAAACAGAUCACAAGCCAAAAACAAACAAAGAAAAACCUAAAGAAAUAUCAACCAAAAGUGUGCAAAUCAAAAAGAUUCUACAAUCCGAAUCGAAAACAAAAACAUAAGAACCACAAAAGCAGCAGCAGCAGAAAGAGAGAGAGAAAGAGAGAGAGAGCAGCGAAAAGUUAACUGCGAAUUCAUCGGCUGAAGCAAAGCAGCGGAGCCCAAGUGCAAGCGAGACGGCAGCAGAGCUCCGCUGCAAGGCAACGGGAUAGACAGAGAGAUAAAUAGAGAGACAGCGCAGCAGCGAUAAAGAGUUUGAGCAGGCGGGAGAGCGAGUAACGGCGGCGACAGCAACACAGCCACAAAAGAGAACGAGUGAGGGAGGGAGAGCUAGACGACGACCUACUACACAAAAAAAGGCUCCCGUGGUGGCGAUUGCCAGCGUCUGCGACAACCAAGAAAACAAAAAAGAAAAACCAUUCAAAUAAUUAAGACUGCUAAACGGAACAACUAAAAACUACAAGCAAAUUUAACCAGGAGAAAAGAAAGGAAGACUA